rnacentral:rRNA from 1 species
GACGAACGCUGGCGGCGUGCCUAAUACAUGCAAGUCGAGCGGACUUUCAAGAAGCUUGCUUUUUGAAAGUUAGCGGCGGACGGGUGAGUAACACGUGGGCAACCUGCCUGCAAGACGGGGAUAACUCCGGGAAACCGGGGCUAAUACCGGAUAAUAUCUUCCUUCGCAUGAAGGAAGGUUGAAAGGCGGCGCAAGCUGCCGCUUGCAGAUGGGCCCGCGGCGCAUUAGCUAGUUGGUGAGGUAACGGCUCACCAAGGCGACGAUGCGUAGCCGACCUGAGGGGGUGGUCGGCCACACUGGGACUGAGACACGGCCCAGACUCCUACGGGAGGCAGCAGUAGGGAAUCUUCCGCAAUAGACGAAAGUCUGACGGAGCAACGCCGCGUGAGCGAAGAAGGUCUUCGGAUCGUAAAGCUCUGUUGUCAGGGAAGAACAAGUACCGUUCGAACAGGGCGGUACCUUGACGGUACCUGACCAGAAAGCCACGGCUAACUACGUG